rnacentral:rRNA from 1 species
CAGUCGCCGCGGUAAUACGUAGGGUGCGAGCGUUAAUCGGAAUUACUGGGCGUAAAGCGUGCGCAGGCGGUUGUGUGAGACAGGUGUGAAAUCCCCGGGCUUAACCUGGGAACUGCGCUUGUGACUGCACAGCUAGAGUAUGGCAGAGGGGGGUGGAAUUCCACGUGUAGCAGUGAAUGCUUAGAGAUGUGGAGGAACACCGAUGGCGAAGGCAGCCCCCUGGGCCAAUACUGACGCUCAUGCACGAAAGCGUGGGGAGCAAACAGGAUUAGAUACCCCUGUAGUCCCUGUCUCUUAUACA